UGAUUGAUCAUGACUCCCUCAUAUGCAUUCCUUGGAAAAUCUGAACAAAAUGAGUGAGAAUUUACUACAAUCAAGAAAACA